UUAAGCGACUAAGCGUACACGGUGGAUGCCCUGGCAGUCAGAGGCGAUGAAGGACGUGCUAAUCUGCGAAAAGCGUCGGUAAGGUGAUAUGAACCGUUAUAACCGGCGAUGUCCGAAUGGGGAAACCCAGUGCAAUUCGUUGCACUAUCGUUAACUGAAUACAUAGGUUAACGAGGCGAACCGGGGGAACUGAAACAUCUAAGUACCCCGAGGAAAAGAAAUCAACCGAGAUUCCCCCAGUAGCGGCGAGCGAACGGGGAGCAGCCCAGAGUCUGAAUCAGCUUGUGUGUUAGUGGAACGGUCUGGAAAGUCCGACGGUACAGGGUGAUAGUCCCGUACACCAAAAUGCACAGGUUGUGAACUCGAAGAGUAGGGCGGGACACGUGGUAUCCUGUCUGAAUAUGGGGGGACCAUCCUCCAAGGCUAAAUACUCCUGACUGACCGAUAGUGAACCAGUACCGUGAGGGAAAGGCGAAAAGAACCCCGGCGAGGGGAGUGAAAAAGAACCUGAAACCGUGUACGUACAAGCAGUGGGAGCACCUUCGGGUGUGACUGCGUACCUUUUGUAUAAUGGGUCAGCGACUUAUAUUCUGUAGCAAGGUUAACCGUAUAGGGGAGCCGCAGGGAAACCGAGUCUUAACUGGGCGUUAAGUUGCAGGGUAUAGACCCGAAACCCGGUGAUCUAGCCAUGGGCAGGUUGAAGGUUGGGUAACACUAACUGGAGGACCGAACCGACUAAUGUUGAAAAAUUAGCGGAUGACUUGUGGCUGGGGGUGAAAGGCCAAUCAAACCGGGAGAUAGCUGGUUCUCCCCGAAAGCUAUUUAGGUAGCGCCUCGUGAAUUCAUCUUCGGGGGUAGAGCACUGUUUCGGCUAGGGGGUCAUCCCGACUUACCAACCCGAUGCAAACUACGAAUACCGAAGAAUGUUAUCACGGGAGACACACGGCGGGUGCUAACGUCCGUCGUGAAGAGGGAAACAACCCAGACCGCCAGCUAAGGUCCCAAAGUCAUGGUUAAGUGGGAAACGAUGUGGGAAGGCACAGACAGCCAGGAUGUUGGCUUAGAAGCAGCCAUCAUUUAAAGAAAGCGUAAUAGCUCACUGGUCGAGUCGGCCUGCGCGGAAGAUGUAACGGGGCUAAACCAUGCACCGAAGCUGCGGCAGCGACACUAUGUGUUGUUGGGUAGGGGAGCGUUCUGUAAGCCUGCGAAGGUGUGCUGUGAGGCAUGCUGGAGGUAUCAGAAGUGCGAAUGCUGACAUAAGUAACGAUAAAGCGGGUGAAAAGCCCGCUCGCCGGAAGACCAAGGGUUCCUGUCCAACGUUAAUCGGGGCAGGGUGAGUCGACCCCUAAGGCGAGGCCGAAAGGCGUAGUCGAUGGGAAACAGGUUAAUAUUCCUGUACUUGGUGUUACUGCGAAGGGGGGACGGAGAAGGCUAUGUUAGCCGGGCGACGGUUGUCCCGGUUUAAGCAUGUAGGCUGGUUGUCCAGGCAAAUCCGGAUAAUCAAGGCUGAGGUGUGAUGACGAGGCACUACGGUGCUGAAGUAACAAAUGCCCUGCUUCCAGGAAAAGCCUCUAAGCAUCAGGUAACAUUAAAUCGUACCCCAAACCGACACAGGUGGUCAGGUAGAGAAUACCAAGGCGCUUGAGAGAACUCGGGUGAAGGAACUAGGCAAAAUGGUGCCGUAACUUCGGGAGAAGGCACGCUGGUGUGUAGGUGAAGUCCCUGCGGAUGGAGCUGAGACCAGUCGAAGAUACCAGCUGGCUGCAACUGUUUAUUAAAAACACAGCACUGUGCAAACACGAAAGUGGACGUAUACGGUGUGACGCCUGCCCGGUGCCGGAAGGUUAAUUGAUGGGGUUAUCCGUAAGGAGAAGCUCUUGAUCGAAGCCCCGGUAAACGGCGGCCGUAACUAUAACGGUCCUAAGGUAGCGAAAUUCCUUGUCAGGUAAGUUCUGACCCGCAUGAAAGGCGUAAUGAUUUGGGCACUGUCUCAACAGCCCGCCCGGCGAAAUUGUAGUACCGGUGAAGAUGCCGGUUACCCGCGACAAGACGGAAAGACCCCAUGGAGCUUUACUGUAGCCUAAUAUUGGGUUUCGAUGUUGCAUGCACAGGAUAGAUGGGACACAGGGAAACAAUCGCUUUGGCGGUUGCGGAGUGGCCGUUGGGAUACCAUCCUUGCGAUAUUGGAAUUCUAACCUGCGCCUUUGAAUCAAGGCGGGGGACAUUGUUAGGUGGGCAGUUUGACUGGGGCGGUCGCCUCCUAAAGAGUAACGGAGGCGUUCAAAGGUUCGCUCAGCUUGAACGGAAAUCAAGCAAAAGAGUGCAAACGCAGAAGCGAGCCUAACUGCGAGACUGACGGGUCGAGCAGUAACGAAAGUUGGAGUUAGUGAUCCGGUGGUAUGUGAGUGGAAAUGCCAUCGCUCAACGGAUAAAAGUUACCCUGGGGAUAACAGGCUGAUCUCCCCCAAGAGUCCACAUCGACGGGGAGGUUUGGCACCUCGAUGUCGGCUCAUCGCAUCCUGGGGCUGUAUUCGGUCCCAAGGGUUUGGCUGUUCGCCAAUUAAAGCGGUACGCGAGCUGGGUUCAGAACGUCGUGAGACAGUUCGGUCCCUAUCUGUCGUGGGCGCAGGAUAUUUGAUGGGAGCUGUUCCUAGUACGAGAGGACCGGAGCGGACGU
rnacentral:rRNA from 1 species